rnacentral:rRNA from 1 species
AUUGAACGCUGGCGGCAGGCUUAACACAUGCAAGUCGAACGAGUGGCGGACGGGUGAGUAAUGCUUGGGAAUCUAGCUUAUGGAGGGGGAUAACUACGGGAAACUGUAGCUAAUACCGCGUACCAUAGGAUGAGCCCAAGUGGGAUUAGGUAGUUGGUGAGGUAAAGGCUCACCAAGCCGACGAUCUCUAGCUGGUCUGAGAGGAUGACCAGCCACACUGGGACUGAGACACGGCCCAGACUCCUACGGGAGGCAGCAGUGGGGAAUAUUGCGCAAUGGGGGCAACCUGACGCAGCCAUGCCGCGUGAAUGAAGAAGGUCUUAGGAUUGUAAAAUUCUUUCACCGGGGACGCGGUACCCGGAGAAGAAGCCCCGGCUAACUUCGUGCCAGCAGCCGCGGUAAUAC